AUGGAGCUUGUGGCACUGCCGUUAAUCGGUUUCCUGGUCUCCCUAGUCAUCCUACUAGUCAACCUCGUCGUGAAGAUUCACCCUACCCCGCCAGCGCCAGGAAAGAAGCGGCUACCGCCGGGGCCACGGCAGCUGCCGCUCGUCGGCAGCCUCCACCACGUCCUGCUGUCGCGCUACGGCGACCUGCCGCACCGUGCGCUGCGUGAGCUCGCCGGCAGGCACGGCCCUCUCAUGCUGCUCCGCUUCGGCGCGGUGCCCACGCUGGUCGUGUCCUCCGCCGAGGCCGCCAGGGAGGUCCUCAAGACGCACGACGCCGCCUUCGCCAGCCGCCACCUCACGCCCACGCUGGCCGUCUUCAGCCGCGGCGGGCACGACAUCCUCUUCUCCCCCUACGGCGACCUGUGGCGCCAGCUCCGCCGGGUGUGCGUCGUCGAGCUCCUCAGCGCGCGCCGCGUCCAGUCCUUCCGCCACAUCCGCGAGGACGAGGCCGCCCGCCUCCUCCGCUCCGUCUCCGACGAGUGCGCCCGCUCCGGCGACGCCGGCUUCGGCGCCGUCGUCGAGAUCGGCCAGGCGAUGUCGCGCAUGAUAAACGACGUCGUGGUGCGCUCGGCCGUCGGCAGCCGGUGCCCGCGGCGCGACGAGUUCCUGCGCGAGAUCGACGAGUCGGUGAAGCUGACCGCCGGCUUCAACCUGGCCGACCUGUUCCCGUCGUCGGCGCUGGUGCGCUGGCUCAGCCGCGGGCUCCGGGAGACCGAGCGGUGCAACCGCCACGUGCGCGACAUCCUCAACGACAUCAUCCGCGACCGCACCGGCGGCGCCGACGGCAGCGACGGCGAGGACGACCUGCUCGGCGUGCUGCUGAGGGUGCAGAGGGACGGCGGCGAGAAGUGCGCCCUCACCACCGAGAUCAUCACCACCGUCAUCCUGGAGAUGUUCGCGGCCGGGAGCGAAACGUCGUCCACGACGCUCGAAUGGGCCAUGUCGGAGCUGGCAAGAAACCCGCGCCUCCUCCGCAAGGCGCAGGCCGAGGUCCGGGAGGCAUGCAAGGGCCAGCGCACGCCGACGGAGGGCGACAUGGGAAGCCUGAGCUACCUCCACCUGGUGAUCAGGGAGACGCUGCGCCUGCACGCGCCGGUGCCGUUCCUGCUGCCGCGGCAGUGCCGGGAGCGGUGCGAGGUGAUGGGCUACGAGGUCCCCGAUGGGACCAAGGUGCUGGUGAACGCGUGGGCAUUGGGCAGGGACGGGGCAUACUGGGAGGACGCCGAGCGGUUCAAGCCGGAGAGGUUCGAGGCCGAGAGCGCCGCCAUGGACUUCAAGGGCGGCGACUUCGAGUUCAUCCCCUUCGGCGCCGGCAGGAGGAUGUGCCCCGGCAUGGCGCUCGGCCUGGCUAACAUGGAGCUCGUGCUCGCGGGCCUGCUCUACCACUUCGACUGGGAGGUCCCCGGCGGCGGGAGGCCAGAGGAGCUGGACAUGUCCGAGGCGUGCGGCAUAACCGUGCAGAGGAAGUCCAAGCUCGUGCUGCACGCUACGCAACGUAUUCCACUCGCAGAUUAA
rnacentral:rRNA from 1 species